AAGGCGAGGAGAUUGAUCACGGAGUGCCGCGACCUUCGAUCUUAUCGUUGCUUGAAUCUGAGACGAGAUAGAGUGGGAAGGUUUGAAGACUUUAUGAUGCAGACGGGAGUUCCUUUCCGCCCAAACAUAAUAGAGAGUGCACUGCCAAGUAAGGAGGCGGAUGAUCUGCAAAUGUCGAUGGCCAGAAGUUUGUUGCAUGCUGCUUACUUGCUGAUUCCAGUCCCGAUCAGGAGCGGCGUUGCAGAGGAGACCGAGUGGAUCCGUUUGUAAGCCCCAUCCUAGCAGUCGGUCUCUUGUUGGACAACAAUUCUGGAUCAAAAGCCACGCAUUGAAGUUAUGUCUUGGAAUGCCUCUCGGCGACCAAACAAUCUUGUUCCAAGGCACAAUGGGAUUGUGAUGCUUCAGCUCUCUAUAGACCAUACCCGUUGAGAAGACUUGCGAGGAGCCAUUUAAGUUCCAGGAGUGGUGAUCUUGUGUAGUUGUCAACGACAUCGAGGUCAAAUGGAUGUGCAAGAGCAGCUGUUCUUCAGAGCGUGCUGGAGGGAGAUUCCAAGAGCCAUCAGAAUAUAGAUCAUGUAGUGUAGCAGUUUCCGGGAUGCCUAAGCGUGAUCUUGGAGGCAGUUGUAGGAACUCAGAGAUACGCCCGAAGGGGCUCCAGUUGUCACUCCAAAACCUUACUGUUUGUCCAUUUCCCGCUUCAGUAGUAAUCCAGUUGUAGAUGAGAGGUCUAAGUCUCAACAGGCGCUUCACAAAUCAAGAGUGGUUGUUUCUUUCUUUUAUAGUCCAGAAGUUAGAGAAACAUAAUAACAUGUUUACAUGACGAGACGAGGAAGACCGGAAGAGGAUGGCGAAAAAUGUUGAAAUUUUCUCCAUCUAAUCCCAUUAACAGCGUACCCUAUAUUUAUGUUUGAUUGGAGAUCAUCAUAUAGGUGUAGCAUCUAGUAACGUGAUUAGUGGGUUCGUCUCGUUAAUGACAAUGAAAUACAUUUCCAAUAUAAAAAUUAGUAAAAAAGAAAAUUAAAGUG